rnacentral:rRNA from 1 species
CAGUCGCCGCGGUAAUACGAAGGGGGCUAGCGUUGCUCGGAAUUACUGGGCGUAAAGGGAGCGUAGGCGGACAUUUAAGUCAGGGGUGAAAUCCCAGAGCUCAACUCUGGAACUGCCUUUGAUACUGGGUGUCUUGAGUGUGAUAGAGGUAUGUGGAACUCCGAGUGUAGAGGUGAAAUUCGUAGAUAUUCGGAAGAACACCAGUGGCGAAGGCGACAUACUGGAUCAUUACUGACGCUGAGGCUCGAAAGCGUGGGGAGCAAACAGGAUUAGAUACCCCGGUAGUCCCUGUCUCUUAUAA